UUGCCAGUGCGGAUGUGCUACUAAAAGCCAGUUUAAACGUAGAGACGCCAACCGACGCCAUAGUGCGAAAGAUUCGUUAAAAGUUUAAAUAGUUGAAAAGUGUGAUUAGUGCCUAGAGAAAUAAGCUAAUCUUGAAUUGUUUAUUAACAGUAGUUAGCUUCGAGGCAUCACAUGUGCAACUAUUAGUACUCUUGAAUGAGUUAGAACCCGAAGCAAGAAAUCCCCUACAACGUAGGGUGCUUGCGUAGGAUUGGGCCACCCGUCAAAUUACCACCCACGUGCUCUGCCGACUUGAUGCGUAUGCACUUGCGCCGAGGACACUCGUGAGCACGUUUUCGUCCCGUACGAUUCAUCUCGUUUCUCAACCACACGAAAUCCGCCUACUGAAGCGCAACA